UACAGAGGUGGCAAGCGUUGUUCGGAAUUACUGGGCGUAAAGGGCGCGUAGGCGGCCUUCUAAGUCGGACGUGAAAGCCCCAGGCUUAACCUGGGAACUGCGUCCGAUACUGGAAGGCUUGGAUUCGGGAGAGGGAUGUGGAAUUCCAGGUGUAGCGGUGAAAUGCGUAGAGAUCCGGAAGAACACCGGUGGCGAAGGCGGCCUGCUGGGACGUGGCUGACGCUGAGGCGCGACAGCGUGGGGAGCAAACAGG
rnacentral:rRNA from 1 species